rnacentral:lncRNA from 1 species
CUCUACCCCAACAUAAACAACAAGGUUGGAAUCAAGCCACAUAUCAUCUAAGCAGAAUCAUUAACAAGAGCAACCAGUCUGUUUCAAAAUAAUUAAUGUGAACUGAACAUAACCAGCGGACUUAUAUCAAUAUCAAAUCUCUAACUUAACAACCUAUCCAAGUUAAAUAAUUAUCCGAAAUAAAGCAUGCCCAAAAACAACACAG